AACUCUAUUAGUUUGAUCAUUCACUUCAAUGGGGCUGCCUUCAACAGGUCAGUUACAGCUACGCUGUAGAUAUUCAAAAACCAUUUUCCUUGUCACGCGUCCAACAGUAUACGCAAGCCUUCAGGGUGUACCACAAUCUGCGGUCUAUUCCAGCCUUAUAUUCGUUAAGACAAAGAGAACUGCACAUUGAUAACAUCUCAUGGCAGGCCAGGCCGCCUGCACCUGUUUCCGAUCACUCAGCCGGUCAGCGGACUGCCCACAAGACGGCAUUAUGAGGUCUACACGACUGAGCGGGUUUAAAUCUGUGUUCCGAGGAUGAAGGGAGCUGCUGUAACCUAAGGGGUGUAAGAUAAGAGGAUGAUGCAUCUCUGAAUCAGUCAGACACUGGGCUAAUACUAGCAGUGGGGGGCACACGGAGGCCCUGAAGGUGGCUUGUGGGGGUGAGAGAUGACUAAUUGGAACGGUGAGCUCUCCUCCCCUUUUCCUGCUGUUUCUGUCCUGUGGCUUUUCCCAGGGUCCCGUCCCUGUUGGACAUCUAGGCCUACUGCGAGAUUACACCAGAUCACAUCACAGAAAGUCUGUCUAUACGUAAACAAACACACAUAAAUCCACACACGCCUGGAAAUCCGUCAAAUAAAAGAGGAAGAGAGAUGGGACGGCGGCAGAAGAUUGAUGCACGAUCUGUUUCUUGCUCUUUCAGACUCUUUCUCUCUUUAUCUUUCUUUAUCUAUGUACUGCAUGUCGUAGAGAGCUUCCAGAAGCAUCCUACCUGUUCGGAGAUGAUUUAGGAUUAAGGAAAAGAGGUUUUAUGACAUUGCUCUCAUAAUAGGCUUUAUUCUUCUCUAAAGCCAGUAAUCAUGUGAAAUGCAACCCAUGGGCCAAUAAUGAGUUUUGCAGUACAGAAAUGUUCCUGUAAACUGUCAUAAAUAAACACAUUUCAAUAAUGUUUUUUUCUUUACUGUAAGGC
ensembl:lncRNA